CCUACGGGAGGCAGCAGUGGGGAAUUUUGGACAAUGGGGGCAACCCUGAUCCAGCCAUGCCGCGUGAGUGAAGAAGGCCUUCGGGUUGUAAAGCUCUUUCGGCCGGAACGAAAUCGCGCACGUGAAUAACGUGCGUGGAUGACGGUACCGGAGUAAGAAGCACCGGCUAACUACGUGCCAGCAGCCGCGGUAAUACGUAGGGUGCGAGCGUUAAUCGGAAUUACUGGGCGUAAAGCGUGCGCAGGCGGUUCGCUAAGUCAGACGUGAAAGCCCCGGGCUUAACCUGGGAACGGCGUUUGAAACUGGCGGGCUCGAGUACGGCAGAGGGGGGUGGAAUUCCACGUGUAGCAGUGAAAUGCGUAGAUAUGUGGAGGAACACCGAUGGCGAAGGCAGCCCCCUGGGCCGAUACUGACGCUCAUGCACGAAAGCGUGGGGAGCAAACAGGAUUAGAUACCCUGGUAGUCCACGCCCUAAACUAUGUCAACUAGUUGUCGGGGAAGCAAUUCCUUGGUAACGCAGCUAACGCGUGAAGUUGACCGCCUGGGGAGUACGGUCGCAAGAUUAAAACUCAAAUGAAUUGACGG
rnacentral:rRNA from 1 species